UCCUACGGGGGGCAGCAGUCGGGAAUUUUCGUCAAUGGGCGCAAGCCUGAACGAGCAAUGCCGCGUGAACGAGGAAGGUCUUCGGAUCGUAAAGUUCUGUUGAAGGGGAAAAAGAGCGGAGAGAGGAAAUGGUCUCCGAUUGAUAUUACCCUUCGAGGAAGUCACGGCUAACUACGUGCCAGCAGCCGCGGUAAUACGUAGGUGGCGAGCGUUAUCCGGAAUGAUUGGGCGUAAAGGGUGCGUAGGCGGCCUGCUAAGUCUGGAGUGAAAGGUACCGGCUCAACCGGUACAGGCUCUGGAAACUG
rnacentral:rRNA from 1 species